UAGCUAAUACCGCAUAACGCUCGCAAGAACCAAAGAGGGGGACCCUCGGGCCUCUUGCCAUCAGAUGUGCCCAGAUGGGAUUAGCUAGUAGUGGGGUAACGGCUCACCUAGGCGACGAUCCCUAGCUGGUCUGAGAGGAUGACCAGCCACACUGGAACUGAGACACGGUCCAGACUCCUACGGGAGGCAGCAGUGGGGAAUAUUGCGACAAUGGGCGCAAGCCUGAUGCAGCCAUGCCGCGUGUAUGAAGAAGGCCUUCGGGUUGUAAAGUACUCUUCAGCGGGGAGGAAGGCGUUGAGGUUAAUAACCUCAGCGAUUGACGUUACCCGCAGAAGAAGCACCGGCUAACUCCGUGCCAGCAGCCGCGGUAAUACGGAGGGUGCAAGCGCUUAAUCGGAAUUACUGGGCGUAAAGCGCACGCAGGCGGUCUGUCAAGUCGGAUAGUGAAAUCCCCGGGCUCAACCUGGGAACUGCAUUCGAAACUGGCAGGCUAGAGUCUUGUAGAGGGGGGUAGAAUUCCAGGUGUAGCGGUGAAAUGCGUAGAGAUCUGGAGGAAUACCGGUGGCGAAGGCGGCCCCCUGGACAAAGACUGACGCUCAGGUGCGAAAGCGUGGGGAGCAAACAGGAUUAGAUACCCUGGUAGUCCACGCCGUAAACGAUGUCGACUUGGAGGUUGUGCCCUUGAGGCGUGGCUUCCGGAGCUAACGCCA
rnacentral:rRNA from 1 species